rnacentral:rRNA from 1 species
GUGGGGAAUAUUGGACAAUGGGCGCAAGCCUGAUCCAGCCAUGCCGCGUGAGUGAUGAAGGCCUUAGGGUUGUAAAGCUCUUUCAGUAGGGAAGAUAAUGACGGUACCUACAGAAGAAGCCCCGGCUAACUUCGUGCCAGCAGCCGCGGUAAUACGAAGGGGGCUAGCGUUGUUCGGAUUUACUGGGCGUAAAGCGCACGUAGGCGGUUUGUUAAGUCAGGGGUGAAAUCCCGGAGCUCAACUCCGGAACUGCCUUUGAUACUGGCAAGCUAGAGUCCGGAAGAGGUAAGUGGAACUCCUAGUGUAGAGGUGGAAUUCGUAGAUAUUAGGAAGAACACCAGUGGCGAAGGCGGCUUACUGGUCCGGAACUGACGCUGAGGUGCGAAAGCGUGGGGAGCAAACAGGAUUAGAUACCCUUGUAGUCC